AAGGUUAAGCCUCACGGUUCAUUAGUACCGGUUAGCUCAACGCAUCGCUGCGCUUACACACCCGGCCUAUCAACGUCGUCGUCUUCAACGUUCCUUCAGGACUCUCAAGGAGUCAGGGAGAACUCAUCUCGGGGCAAGUUUCGUGCUUAGAUGCUUUCAGCACUUAUCUCUUCCGCAUUUAGCUACCGGGCAGUGCCAUUGGCAUGACAACCCGAACACCAGUGAUGCGUCCACUCCGGUCCUCUCGUACUAGGAGCAGCCCCCCUCAGUUCUCCAGCGCCCACGGCAGAUAGGGACCGAACUGUCUCACGACGUUCUAAACCCAGCUCGCGUACCACUUUAAAUGGCGAACAGCCAUACCCUUGGGACCUACUUCAGCCCCAGGAUGUGAUGAGCCGACAUCGAGGUGCCAAACACCGCCGUCGAUAUGAACUCUUGGGCGGUAUCAGCCUGUUAUCCCCGGAGUACCUUUUAUCCGUUGAGCGAUGGCCCUUCCAUUCAGAACCACCGGAUCACUAUGACCUGCUUUCGCACCUGCUCGCGCCGUCACGCUCGCAGUCAAGCUGGCUUAUGCCAUUGCACUAACCUCCUGAUGUCCGACCAGGAUUAGCCAACCUUCGUGCUCCUCCGUUACUCUUUAGGAGGAGACCGCCCCAGUCAAACUACCCACCAGACACUGUCCGCAACCCGGAUCACGGGUCCACGUUAGAACAUCAAACAUUAAAGGGUGGUAUUUCAAGGUCGGCUCCAUGCAGACUGGCGUCCACACUUCAAAGCCUCCCACCUAUCCUACACAUCAAGGCUCAAUGUUCAGUGUCAAGCUAUAGUAAAGGUUCACGGGGUCUUUCCGUCUUGCCGCGGGUACACUGCAUCUUCACAGCGAGUUCAAUUUCACUGAGUCUCGGGUGGAGACAGCCUGGCCAUCAUUACGCCAUUCGUGCAGGUCGGAACUUACCCGACAAGGAAUUUCGCUACCUUAGGACCGUUAUAGUUACGGCCGCCGUUUACCGGGGCUUCGAUCAAGAGCUUCGCUUGCGCUGACCCCAUCAAUUAACCUUCCGGCACCGGGCAGGCGUCACACCGUAUACGUCCACUUUCGUGUUUGCACAGUGCUGUGUUUUUAAUAAACAGUUGCAGCCAGCUGGUAUCUUCGACUGAUUUCAGCUCCAUCCGCGAGGGACUUCACCUACAUAUCAGCGUGCCUUCUCCCGAAGUUACGGCACCAUUUUGCCUAGUUCCUUCACCCGAGUUCUCUCAAGCGCCUUGGUAUUCUCUACCUGACCACCUGUGUCGGUUUGGGGUACGAUUUGAUGUUACCUGAUGCUUAGAGGCUUUUCCUGGAAGCAGGGCAUUUGUUGCUUCAGCACCGUAGUGCCUCGUCAUCACGCCUCAGCCUUGAUUUUCCGGAUUUGCCUGGAAAACCAGCCUACACGCUUAAACCGGGACAACCGUCGCCCGGCCAACAUAGCCUUCUCCGUCCCCCCUUCGCAGUAACACCAAGUACAGGAAUAUUAACCUGUUUCCCAUCGACUACGCCUUUCGGCCUCGCCUUAGGGGUCGACUCACCCUGCCCCGAUUAACGUUGGACAGGAACCCUUGGUCUUCCGGCGAGCGGGCUUUUCACCCGCUUUAUCGUUACUUAUGUCAGCAUUCGCACUUCUGAUACCUCCAGCAUGCCUCACAGCACACCUUCGCAGGCUUACAGAACGCUCCCCUACCCAACAACACAUAGUGUCGCUGCCGCAGCUUCGGUGCAUGGUUUAGCCCCGUUACAUCUUCCGCGCAGGCCGACUCGACCAGUGAGCUAUUACGCUUUCUUUAAAUGAUGGCUGCUUCUAAGCCAACAUCCUGGCUGUCUGGGCCUUCCCACAUCGUUUCCCACUUAACCAUGACUUUGGGACCUUAGCUGGCGGUCUGGGUUGUUUCCCUCUUCACGACGGACGUUAGCACCCGCCGUGUGUCUCCCGUGAUAACAUUCUCCGGUAUUCGCAGUUUGCAUCGGGUUGGUAAGUCGGGAUGACCCCCUUGCCGAAACAGUGCUCUACCCCCGGAGAUGAGUUCACGAGGCGCUACCUAAAUAGCUUUCGGGGAGAACCAGCUAUCUCCCGGUUUGAUUGGCCUUUCACCCCCAGCCACAAGUCAUCCGCUAAUUUUUCAACAUUAGUCGGUUCGGUCCUCCAGUUAGUGUUACCCAACCUUCAACCUGCCCAUGGCUAGAUCACCGGGUUUCGGGUCUAUACCCUGCAACUUAACGCCCAGUUAAGACUCGGUUUCCCUUCGGCUCCCCUAUUCGGUUAACCUUGCUACAGAAUAUAAGUCGCUGACCCAUUAUACAAAAGGUACGCAGUCACACGCCUAAGCGUGCUCCCACUGCUUGUACGUACACGGUUUCAGGUUCUUUUCACUCCCCUCGCCGGGGUUCUUUUCGCCUUUCCCUCACGGUACUGGUUCACUAUCGGUCAGUCAGGAGUAUUUAGCCUUGGAGGAUGGUCCCCCCAUAUUCAGACAGGAUACCACGUGUCCCGCCCUACUCAUCGAGCUCACAGUAUGUGCAUUUUUGUGUACGGGGCUGUCACCCUGUAUCGCGCGCCUUUCCAGACGCUUCCACUAACACACAUGCUGAUUCAGGCUCUGGGCUGCUCCCCGUUCGCUCGCCGCUACUGGGGGAAUCUCGGUUGAUUUCUUUUCCUCGGGGUACUUAGAUGUUUCAGUUCCCCCGGUUCGCCUCAUUAACCUAUGGAUUCAGUUAAUGAUAGUGUGUCGAAACACACUGGGUUUCCCCAUUCGGAAAUCGCCGGUUAUAACGGUUCAUAUCACCUUACCGACGCUUAUCGCAGAUUAGCACGUCCUUCAUCGCCUCUGACUGCCAGGGCAUCCACCGUGUACGCUUAGUCGCUUAA
rnacentral:rRNA from 1 species